UACGUAGGGUCCGAGCGUUGUCCGGAAUUACUGGCGUAAAGAGCUCGUAGGUGGUUUGUCGCGUUGUUCGUGAAAACUCACAGCUUAACUGUGGGCGUGCGGGCGAUACGGGCAGACUGGAGUACUGCAGGGGAGACUGGAAUUCCUGGUGUAGCGGUGGAAUGCGCAGAUAUCAGGAGGAACACCGGUGGCGAAGGCGGCUCUGGGCA
rnacentral:rRNA from 1 species